rnacentral:rRNA from 1 species
GGGUUGUGAGGUUAAGCGACUAAGCGUACACGGUGGAUGCCCUGGCAGUCAGAGGCGAUGAAGGACGUGCUAAUCUGCGAUAAGCGCCGGUAAGGUGAUAUGAACCGUUAUAACCGGCGAUUUCCGAAUGGGGAAACCCAGUGUGACUCGUCACACUAUCAUUAACUGAAUCCAUAGGUUAAUGAGGCGAACCGGGGGAACUGAAACAUCUAAGUACCCCGAGGAAAAGAAAUCAACCGAGAUUCCCCCAGUAGCGGCGAGCGAACGGGGAGGAGCCCAGAGCCUGAAUCAGCAUGUGUGUUAGUGGAAGCGUCUGGAAAGGCGCGCGAUACAGGGUGACAGCCCCGUACACAAAAGCGCACAUGCUGUGAGCUCGAUGAGUAGGGCGGGACACGUGGUAUCCUGUCUGAAUAUGGGGGGACCAUCCUCCAAGGCUAAAUACUCCUGACUGACCGAUAGUGAACCAGUACCGUGAGGGAAAGGCGAAAAGAACCCCGGCGAGGGGAGUGAAAAAGAACCUGAAACCGUGUACGUACAAGCAGUGGGAGCCCCACCACUAAGCCAGUGGUGAAAUCCACAUACGCAUCCUUUGCUGAGGAUACGGUUAACGGAGCGCAAGCGACGU